rnacentral:lncRNA from 1 species
GUCAACUCUUAACCUAAUAGGGUCAAACCCAACUGAAUCCAAUUCAAUUGGACUUGAUCCAAAAUUAAUUACUCAAUCAAAUUGAGUUAAUUAGCAAUCAAAUCACUAAUUAAACCUCUCAUAAAUAUUGAGUCCAAAUUCGAUGGGUAAUCAGGCAUCAGAAUUCAUCGAUAUGUAACCCUGAUCGAAGAGUCCCAAACCAGUGGGACUCUUGACCCCGAUACACAAAAUGUGUGGGACUCGUGAUCAGAGAAUCUUGAUUCUCGAUCACAGAGUCUCAGACAUGUAGGACUCAUAGUCCAUGAGCAUUAGGACUCUUCAUCAGCCAUU